AAAAUCUCUAGAAUCCAUAAAUUUAUUUCUGAAGUUGACAACACUGUGGUGCUUUCGGGAGUAGCAUGGGAUGCGUGUAGUGCAGAACCGUGAUUGUGACAGAUGGUGCAUGAAAGACCAAAAUAACCUCGCGGAGAUGACAGAGAUUUUCCAUCAUUGCCAACAUUCUCCCCUAGUUUUUUAUGGAUUUUGGCUCCUUACCGCUAAAGAUGUUAAAUGUAAAACUGUUGGAGUUUCUAUAAGCAAGGAAAAAUUUGAGAAAAAGUGUCCAAACAGCCAGAAUACAUUGAGCGUGCUGAGGGCACACUAAAGAUCUUAUAGAAAAAAAGGAAAGUUGGAAUAAGUACGAUAGUAAACAGGAGAAAAGGAAGAAGUCCAAAAAAAGAUUUUAAAAACUGGACGUACAAGAGUUAUUAUACGAUUAUAAUAACAUUACUUACAGUAUCAGUACCUCAAACAACAUUCAUAAAAGAUUACAAAAUGAUGCAGAAUUUUUUAAUAAAUAUUUAUCAAGUAAUAUAACCUCUAGUAAAGCAAUAGGUGUAAUAGACAAUACAGAAAAAGAAAAUAUUGAUCCUAAGGAGACAACAUUUAAUUGGACAAGACAAAAUACAAAACUUUUAUUAAAAAAAUAUAAUGAAGGCAUUUUAAGACCUAAGUCUCUAUAUUAUUUAUAACGUUAUUUAAAUUUAUAGCUUUGUUCAUCGCAAUAAAUAAUAUUAAAUCUA